rnacentral:rRNA from 1 species
AAAUUGAAGAGUUUGAUCAUGGCUCAGAUUGAACGCUGGCGGCAGGCCUAACACAUGCAAGUCGAACGGUAACAGGAAACAGCUUGCUGUUUCGCUGACGAGUGGCGGACGGGUGAGUAAUGUCUGGGAAACUGCCUGAUGGAGGGGGAUAACUACUGGAAACGGUAGCUAAUACCGCAUAACGUCGCAAGACCAAAGAGGGGGACCUUCGGGCCUCUUGCCAUCAGAUGUGCCCAGAUGGGAUUAGCUAGUAGGUGGGGUAACGGCUCACCUAGGCGACGAUCCCUAGCUGGUCUGAGAGGAUGACCAGCCACACUGGAACUGAGACACGGUCCAGACUCCUACGGGAG